rnacentral:lncRNA from 1 species
CACGGUGCACCCCGUGCUGGUGGAUGGCUCAGGACGGUGCAGUUUUCAUGGGAGGCGUGGCACCUGCUGGAAGGAAGAUAGUUGAUUCUCCUGAGUAAUGAAGGCCACGCAGAGUCCUGGUUUCGGUUAUCCACAGUGCACCCCGUGCUGGUGGGUGGCUCAGGACGCCAGGUUCUGGUCACAAAUAUGUGAAGCCGUAGACUAGCGGAUUUCAUAAGUACCACAGGAGUCUAGAUGACAUGGCCUUCCUGACCUGUGAACCUGUCUUUCUGAAGCACACUCAUUUCUUCUGCACCUUCCCAGUGUCAUUGGCAUGGAAGGAAGGCCCUUGUCCAAGAAAGAUUGUCUUCGUCUUGUGUGAUCCUUGAGAUGCCAUGAGGCCCCUGGAUACACAUGGUGUGGGCUCCUUUGGAGGCUUUUGGAUUUGUCCUGAAUGUGGCGUUGGUAUGAAAGGAAGGCCAGUGACCACAAGGGACAAUCUUGAUCUUGGGAGAUUUUUGGAGAUGAUGAAGUGCCUGUAAACAUGUGUGUCAUGGUCUCCUUCAGGCUGGUGGACACCUCAGGACGGUGGUGUUGGCAUGGAAGGAGGGCCUGUGUCUGCGAGGGAUGAUCAUUCUCUCAUGUGAUCCUUGGAGAUGCCAGGAAGCCCCUUGACACAUGUGGCAUGGACUCCUUCAG